GACGUAGGGCGCGAGCGUUGUCCGGAUUUAUUGGGCGUAAAGAGCUCGUAGGCGGCUUGUUGCGUCGGCUGUGAAAACCCGCAGCUCAACUGUGGGCUUGCAGCCGAUACGGGCGGGCUUGAGGUAUGCAGGGGAGAACGGAAUUCCUGGUGUAGCGGUGAAAUGCGCAGAUAUCAGGAGGAACACCGGUGGCGAAGGCGGUUCUCUGGGCAUUACCUGACGCUGAGGAGCGAAAGUGUGGGGAGCGAACAGG
rnacentral:rRNA from 1 species